UACGUAGGGGGCAAGCGUUGUCCGGAAUCAUUGGGCGUAAAGCGCGCGUAGGCGGCCCGGUAAGUCCGUUGUAAAAGUCGAAGGCUCAACCUUCGAAAGCCGAUGGAUACUGCCGGGCUAGAGUCCGGAAGAGGCGAGUAGAAUUCCUGGUGUAGCGGUGAAAUGCGCAGAUAUCAGGAGGAACACCGAUGGCGAAGGCAGCUCGCUGGGACGUGACUGACGCUGAGACGCGAAAGCGUGGGGAGCAAACAGG
rnacentral:rRNA from 1 species